UCAGGUAUGGUGUAACGGUAACAUUUUUGACUCUCAAUAUCUCUCGAGAUUGAGCACUCAGGGGCCCGGGGUUCGAUUCCCCGUAUCCGAG
rnacentral:tRNA from 1 species